CGCGGUAUAGUUAUGCGGAGCGAGACCGGUGUGAGUAACACGGUGGGUAACCUGCCUGUAAGACUGGGAUAACUCCGGGAAACCGGAGCUAAUACCGGAUAGUUCCUUGAACCGCAGGGUUCAGGGAUGAAAGACGGUUUCGGCUGUCACUUACAGAUGGACCCGCGGCGCAUUAGCUAGUUGGUGAGGUAACGGCUCACCAAGGCGACAAUUCGUAGCCUACCUGAGAGGGUGAUCGGCCACACUGGGACUGAGACACGGCCCAGACCCCUACGGGAGGCAGCACUAGGGAAUCUUCCGCAAUGGACGAAAGUCUGACGGAGCAACGCCACGGGAGUGAUGAAGGUUUUCGGAUCGUAAAGCUCUGUUGUUAGGGAAGAACAAGUGCAAGAGUAACUGCUUGCACCUUGACGGUACCUAACCAGAAAGCCACGGCUAACUACGUGCCAGCAGCCGCGGUAAUACGUAUGUGGCAAGCGUUGUCCGGAAUUAUUGGGCGUAAAGGGCUCGCAGGCGGUUUCUUAAGUCUGAUGUGAAAGCCCCCGGCUCAACCGGGGAGGGUCAUUGGAAACUGGGGAAACUUGAGUGCAGAAGAGGAGAGUGGAAUUCCACGUGUAGCGGUGAAAUGCGUAGAGAUGUGGAGGAACACCAGUGGCGAGGGCGACUCUCUGGUCUGUAACUGACGCUGAGGAGCGAAAGCGUGGGGAGCGAACAGGGAUUAGAUACCCUGGUAGUCCCACGCCGUAAACGAUGAGUGCUAAGUGUUACGCGGGUUUUCCGCCCCCUUAGUGCUGCAGCUA
rnacentral:rRNA from 1 species